AUCCAACCAACGAGUCCCGAAUAGGACUAGAUGCGCAUCCUGGAU
rnacentral:hammerhead_ribozyme from 1 species